rnacentral:rRNA from 1 species
AGAACGAACGCUGGCGGCGUGGAUAAGACAUGCAAGUCGAACGCGAUUUAUCAGGUUAGCAAUAACUUGGUAAAUUGAGUGGCGAAAGGGUGCGUAACACGUGGGAAUUUACCGAGAAGUGGGGAAUAGCUCGACGAAAGUCGAAUUAAUACCGCAUGUGAUCGAAAGAUCAAAGCCGGGGACCGCAAGGCCUGGCGCUUCUUGAGAAGCCCGCGGCCCAUCAGCUAGUUGGCGGGGUAAAAGCCCACCAAGGCUAUGACGGGUAGCUGGUCUGAGAGGACGACCAGCCACACUGGAACUGAGACACGGUCCAGACACCUACGGGUGGCAGCAGUCGAGAAUUUUUCACAAUGGACGAAA